UACGGAGGGUGCGAGCGUUACUCGGAAUUACUGGGCGUAAAGCGCACGUAGGCGGUUAGGUAAGUCGGAUGUGAAAGCCCUGGGCUUAACCUGGGAACUGCAUUCGAUACUGCCUGGCUAGAGUAUGGGAGAGGGAAGCGGAAUUUCCGGUGUAGCGGUGAAAUGCGUAGAUAUCGGAAGGAACAUCAAUGGCGAAGGCAGCUUCCUGGCCCAAUACUGACGCUCAGGUGCGAAAGCGUGGGGAUCAAACAGG
rnacentral:rRNA from 1 species